rnacentral:misc_RNA from 1 species
GCUGCUUUCAGAGGCAUUAUGCCAGCUCAUGACUGCGUAGAGACUGCGUGCGCACAGACUUUAAAAAAAAAAGGUGCUUGCUCCUGUCGCUCCUUGGGAGUGUGUCUUCAUCCUCAUGGCUACCAUUGCCGUUGAUCGUUUUUUCUUCUAUCGAAUGAGACAUUGGCACGCCCGUUUCGCUGCAUUGCCUCAGCUAUGGAUCCGAAAGGCUCUUUUUUUUGCGUGUGCGUGUUUUCCUUGGCCGCUGCUCCCUCUCGCCUGUCUUGACUGCGUGAUUCACCGAGCUCUACACGCACCAUCCGCGGACGCACAAAGAGACGUCCAACGGCAUUCAUCCGUGCGCACGCAAACAUGCAACUAUAUUCGCAGCAUUUGUUGCUGCUCUUCUCAUAUCUUCUCCUUUCCACACUUACUUGUCAGCGUUGUGCACCUCUGCGCCCUCCUCACUCCGGCGUGCCCCUCUUCACUGCUGGACUGCUGCCAACUGGAUCAUCACCCACGUGCGAGUGCACUAAGUCCCCACUCCCGCGAGUGCAAGGAUGUGUCGAUCUCGCUCGCCUUGGGCAGGCACCACAACAAAGGCACACGGUAGGCCAUGCUGUUGGUGUUUCAAGUGGGGCCCGGAAAGCCGCGGUGCUUGGCAUGUGUGGCGCUUCCUCGAUGCGCACCUCUCAAACGGCUGUCUUAUGGACCUGGUGCCGAUGCGGCUGCGGCGACCACUCGGAUACGCCUAUGUUCUCUCAUCGCAACUCCGGGAGGCGAGAAAGUCGUACCAGCGCACGCGGAUCAUGGCGCAAUCACGUGAGGAAGGCAGCGGCUCGGUAACACCGCACGAGAGCCGUGUGGCGACAGCGGAUUGGCAGGGGGCUGCUUGUGUGUGGGGAGGGGAGGCGGGGGUCGCGUCAGCAAUGAGGACGAGGCGACUGCUCGUUCGACGACUCCAGCUUUGAAUGCGAGAGCGAGUGCCGAGUGCCGACACUGACGUACCUGCACAGGUAGAGGUGGGCCGCUGCCAUGCUAAUAAUAGGAUUGCCGCGGCACUUGGGAGGCCGCGACCCUGUUACAACCACAGUGAGAAGGCCAAAGACUCUGCUGGCGAGGCGACGCGCACGCAGACCGAGAACCUUCUUAUUCUCUUCCUCUACCCGCAUUACGACUCGGCGCCGACGGACAGCGGCUGGGCCGCGGUGAUGCAGCGGGGCUACUUGGAGCAGCAUCGCAGUAUCCGGAGCGUGCACUUGAUUCAACGCUGCAGACAAGAUGAUACGUACGGAGAGGCUUGGCCUCGGUACAUCCCUUGUUUCGUCCGUGAUCAUGGCAAGCCAGACUGGCUCUUUGUUGUGUGCUUGAAGCCGUGCCGAUCUGUUUCACGCAGUUUGGCGGCACCUGCGAGAAAAAGUACAUGCGCACGGUGGCGCGUCUUCGCGAUGUGGUAAGCGUGCCGUCCACCACGGUGGACUCGCCAGGGAGGACGGCGGCGCGAGCGAUGGCGAGAAGCAGUUCUCUGAAGCUCUAGACCCCCAGUGGCGUCGUACGUCGAUACUUUGGGCGAGUGCGGGGAGCGUUAGAGAGUGCUGUGCAUGCAUGCAGUCUUCGCGAGAAUUAUCGAAGCAGCUGUGGCAGACCGUGGCAACGAACUCGCAGCCGUCUUCGGCGACACAUCGCGGGAUCAGCAAAACUUCCCCCCUUUCUGCAAUCGACAGCUCCGGUUUCCCCUCGAGCAAGUUGCCGCGCAUCAUCUCGCCGCACUCGCUCAUUCCAGCGGCGCACGGUGUGUGCCGGUUGGUUGCCGUGGACGAUAUCAACCCCGUGUGGGCCAUCGUGCCGCACCGCUCCCCUCAGCUUAAGUGUUUGGGAUGAUACGAGGUUCGGCAAAUCCGCGCCAUGCCUGUCGCCACCGCACACGUGGGAAUACUUGCCGCGGUGGCGUCGUCGCACACGCGAUGGCGCUGCGAACUUCCUUGGUGUACCCGAUGAAUGAAGCGUUUGCGUCUUGUGAGGUAGAAACGUAGAGUGUACCGCUGCGGCGCACGCACCCGACGAUGCAGAUAGCGUAAACCUGCGCUCUGUUUUUCUGCGCAACGAAGAGACUUGUUCGGUGCUUUCUCUGUGCUUGCUCUCUUCCGGUGGCGAAGAGCCUCUCUCUCUUUUUCCGCCCCCCUCUCCCUCACGUGUUUUUCAGCUUGUUUCUCAUGCUGC